rnacentral:lncRNA from 1 species
UCAGGGAUGCAGGCAAUGAAGGUUAUUUUAUUUGGGAUGCUAAACGCAGGGGGGACCAUUACACCAGCUAAAGUACAUCGAUUUCAAGUGAAACAGGGAGGAGAAAAAUCUUUUUACCUCCUCCAGCUGAAUUAUGUUGGCCGUUCAAACAAACAAACAAGCCCAUCUUCAAACAGUGGGGAGGCUGGAGCAAAACUUCCCUCCUCGCUGCAGUUUCCAGGUGCUUUUACUCAAGAUUUGAUUUUUAUUCCUGUCUUCCUUAUUUGAGAAUCAGGUCUGUGGCUCUGCAAGGGACCCUUAUGCCAGAGCUCUUUCCUGUGCUGAUUUUUCAGAUGACUUUAACCGUAAAUCACAUGUCCCCCAAACUAUAUCCCAACUUCGCCAAGUCCCCAGCCACACAAAGAAAGGCCUAGUUGGGUCCCGUGAUGUAACCUAAGUUGAUAUUCCUCAUAAAUCUACAUAGUUAUUCCAGCACGAUUACAUUCAUAUAUUCACAUUUCCAAUUCAAGGUUGUAGAAGAAGUGUAAUUUUAAAAAAACGAUUAUUUAUACUCUUCAGUGUCCAGUCUUGAGGGGUUCAAGAAGACAUGCGGACGGCUCUCAGUAGAACGUAAUCUUCUAAAGAGCACAUGCAAUUUAUUAAGGACAAUGCCAUCGUGGCCACGUGACUUGUAAGUGCAACAUUCGAGACGUUUGCUGUAAUAAUUAAACACCACAAGAGAACUUUUUAAAAACUCGAGUCUAAUUAAGGUUUGUCCUUCAGGAAAAAGGUGACUCCAUCUCUAAUGUGAGUAUUCAUGAGCUUUUCAUUUUAAGAGGGCUAGUUUGUGGGUAAACAGAUGCCUGAAGAGACGGUCACAGGAGGAGCUCAUGCAGUUUUAAUAGAUGGCAGUGCUGCGGCAUCAGAAGAUGAUGCCGGCUGAAGUGACAGCGUCUGAUGACUGUACCCUUGGUCGGCUCUGUUUUUAUGAAUGGUCUCAGGGUUCUCCCUUCCUGCCCAGGUCGGUGAUGCUGGCUGGAUUUGGGAACCCAUCAUUUUAUCUUCCAGGUGACAGUCCUCUCAUGGGGUGGCAUCCAUUUUCUCCCUUAGCAUCCUCUAAAUGCUUCUCCAAGAAGCCACCUCCCACAGGGCUCGUGCAGUGAGGAAGGAGGAAGUGAGGAAGGGAGGAGGUGAGCCCCUCCUGCUCCGUAGCACCCCCAACAUCCGCCUCUCUCUGGCCCAGGCUCCUUUACUGCUCCCAUAGCUUCCCCCCCUCCCCCUGACCCCUCCCUCCCCUGACUUCUUCCUCCCCCCUCCCCCUUCAUUCUCUUCUUCCUCCCCCCCUCCCCUCCCCCUCCUCCCCUUUCUCCCCGAAGCCUGGGGGGCCUCCAUUUCAGCCACACACUUCCUCGGUCCACUCAGGAAAACCAAAGCCCUACAGUGAUGGGCCCUCCCUCCUUGCGAAGAGCAAACCCCAUCACUCUCCUGUCCCUGGACCACAGAAGCUGGGGUGAGGGUCUCACCCUCCAGCCCAAGGAGCUACCCAGGGGUCCUUUCCAGGAAUACCUGGCACUUGGCCAGAAAGAUUGUCACCCACAUGCAGGUUGCUGCUCCACGGCCCUUACUGCCAGCUCUGGGUUCCUUUUGUUACAGGCUUCAAGUCCCCUUCGAGAAGAUGAACCCCCAAAGCCUCAGGCCACGUCUCCUUGCAAUGCUGCUUCCCCCACCUUGACCCGCCUGGGCUGCUCACUCCCUGCUGGGAGAGGUACGUGGCCCAGGCCUCACCCGCCCCUGCGUCACCUGUUCUCCAUGCAGAUAAGGCCUCCUGCCCAUGACCAAUCUGAGCAUCACGCUGGGUCUCCACCCUGGUCGCACCGUGGGUCCUGGAGACCAUUGCAAGUGAGCCGGGCCCUCUGGGAACCUGCAAGCCUCUGACUCCUCUCUCCCUCUCUGAAAGUGUGCUUUCGCCUUGAUAAAGGUAUAAAGCAUCUGCAGUUCCCGUGCUUUGCCUUGGUGAGACGGGGAGAUGGGGAGACAGGGAUCGAGCGAGGAAUCUGUGAUGUAUCAUUUUAACACCAGCAGUUCGCGGAUUUUUUAAUCUCAAGUCCGCUUUACACUCUUUAAAAUUGAGGACCCCAAAGAGCUUUUGUUUAUGAGGUCAUUUCUAUUAAUAGUCACCCAAUUAGAAAGUAGAACUGAGAAAGUUGAACAAUAUGUAGUCAUUCAUGGGAAAAUAACAAUAAUAAACCCGUGACGCAGCACCCCUAAGUAACGUUUUAAUGAAAACUAACUUUACUUUUCCAAACCUGAGAAGAAUGGCGUUAUUUUACAUUUUUGCACUUUUUGGCAAAUCUCUCUCUGGCUUAGGAGAAGGCAUCUGGGUUCUCUUAUCUGCUUCUUCAUUCAGUCUUCUAGGAAGCAUCUGGAAGAUUCUGUCCAGCAAGCAGGAGAGAAGGAGUGUGAACAAGGCAAAUAACAUUUUCCUAUUAUUAAAAGAGCUAAUGGAGGAGUUCCCGUUGUGGCUCAUCAGAUUCAUUUCUGCUACGCCAGGAUGGGAACUCCUAUUUGUUCACAUUUUAACUGCUCCAAAGCCAGGAGAAGCAUGUCUCAAAAGUCAAGGCUUGGAAAGGAAAAAAGAAAGUAGGAAGGAGGGAAGGAAAGGAGGGAGGGAGGAAGGAAGGAAAGAAAGAGACACCUGGGAAGGCAUGCAUUUGGUUGUUGUUCCUGUACCCUGAGUGGAAACCACUGUCCCUGGCAUCUCAGUCUCCAUGCCACUGUCCCUGGCACCUCAGUUGCUGUACCACUGUCCCUGGCAUCUCAGCCUCCAUGCCACUGUCCCUGGCACCUCAGUCUCCAUGCCACUGUCCCUGGCACCUCAGUCGCUGUGCCCCUUAUUUGAGAAAGGUGGAUGAGAAUUGGGAUUGUCUAAAACUUCCUGUUGAUAUUCAGGUAACAUUCAGGAAGCUCAGCCUAAACGCUUGCAAGAAGGUGCCAGGGCUGGGGAAUUCCUAGAGACCACGGUAGGAAACCACUCUGGUGGCAGGAUAAUGGUCCCCUCAAGACGUCCAUGUCCUCGUCCCCAGAACCUGUGAAUAAGUUGCCUUGUAUGGCAGAAGGGACUUGGCAGAUGUGACUAAAUUAAUGCCCUAGAGUUUAGAGGAGCAGCCUGGAUUAUCCAUCUGGGUCCAGUCUAAUCAUGUGCAUUCUUAAAAUCAGAGUACCUUUGCCAGCUGGGGUUGGGGGGAGCCAUGAUUACAGAAGAACUGCCAGAGAGGUGCAAUGCUGCCAGCUUCUGAGAGGGAGGAGGGGACCACAAGCCCAGCUUCCGAGAGGGAGGAGGGGACCACAAGCCAAGGAAUGCAGAUGACCUGAGACCCUUGUCAAGGUGAGGAAACAGAUUUUCCUCUAGAAGCUCCAGAAAGGAAAGCAGCCCUGCUGGCACCUUGAUUUUAGCCCAGCCAGACCCAGGUGAGACUCUGACCUCAUAAAAUACAUGCUGUUUUAAGCCACCACAUUUGUGGUCCUUUGUUACAGCAGCAAUAGGAAACUAAUACG